rnacentral:lncRNA from 13 species
UAUCAAGGUGUUUUCUUGGGACUACACCUAAAAGAAAGUCUCUGAAGUAUUAAAAACUUGCACCAAUAGUUAUUACACUGAAUUAUUCUGUAUUUGCAGAACAACCAAGUCGAAAUGCAAUGUCUCAACACAGCCCUCCUCAUCCCUGUUGUCUACCCAAGAUUUUCUUAGGACUCUCUUUUAUCCUGCACAGUUACUUGCUGAAUUCAUAGCCCAUGAAUUUUUAAAUUUUUUUCACUGACUUAAACAUUCCCAACAUUACCAGGGCAAUUGCCAUAUCUGCAUCUUACUCAACGGUUACUGACUGCACAACACCUGCUAUGUGCCACGUGGAAAACUGCAACCUGAUUUCCCUCGGGUUUUCCUCUGACCUAGAAGAUAAAACUCAGCCCCAUCACAGCUGCGCAGCUGGACUGGUUUCACAUCGAAGUUUCACCUACAAAAACCCCAUGAGCUUUACACGCCGAGAUUUUAGAAGUGCUAAAUCUGCAGGAGCCAGUCUGCCACCUCAGCGCGCCUGUUAAAGAUUUUUUUACCUUUUACUGCUCACUUCAAGCUACAGUAUCACCACGAGCAGCUCACGAUACUGCUCUUAUUCUAAAGCACAGAGCCCAGCACACAACUCCGCUGUGGAGACUGACGCCAGCGGUUCAGAAGGAGAAGCAGCACAGGAGCAAAGCAAGGCAGCCCGGGGUGGGGGCAGACGAAGAGUCCUCGAAGAGCUGAAUGCACCGGCCGGUCCCAGGACUUCCAUCUGUGCAGGAACAAAAAGGCAGUUUUGCAGGAAAAGAAGACACGGCGUGAAAAAUACUUGUUCUCUCUGCAGUGAAUCAGCUGCUCUUCCAGCCGUGGGGAGAAACACAGUUUCUCCUGAAAACUGGGGCUCACCGCGGGUGUUUUGGCGCACGGGUUUAGCUGUCCGCUGGACAAUGAGGACACAUUCGCAGUACGAGGACCCCCAUUCCUAAAAACCAGCCCUGCAGCCCCUGGGGCUGAACAAACCCUCUUCCAGUGACUACCGAAGGGGGAGGCGAUAAGAAAACCCCCGCAACUGAGGCUCCGCAGACGCCUCACUUUGGGUGUCCAGCUCCCUUUCGGGGUGCCCCAGCCCCUCGCGGGGGAUAACAGCACUGACUGACAUUUUACCCCAUCCCAGGGCAAAGCGGGGUCGGGAUCCCCUCCCCGGGGCGGGAUGCGCGGGGCCGGGCGGGAGCCGCGCCCCGGAGCCCCCCGGGCCC